rnacentral:rRNA from 1 species
UACGUAGGGGGCGAGCGUUGUCCGGAAUCAUUGGGCGUAAAGAGCGUGUAGGCGGACUGGAAGGUCUGGUGUGAAAGCCCGGGGCUCAACCCCGGAGGGUCACUGGAAACCAACAGUCUUGAGUCCGGAAGAGGAGAGUGGAAUUUCCGGUGGAGCGGUGAAAUGCGUAGAGAUCGGAAAGAACACCAACGGCGAAAGCACUCUGCUGGGCCGACACUGACACUGAGAGACGAAAGCUAGGGGAGCGAAUGGG